UGACACAAAUUGAUCACACCACCUGCCA
rnacentral:piRNA from 1 species